UCAGUCAUAUUGGAGAAGGGCCCACCAUAAUGACCUCAUCUUAAUCACAUCUGCAAAGACCGUAUUUCCAAUAAGAUCACAUGCUGGGGUGCUGGGGGUUAGGACUUUAGCAGAUAAUUGGGGGGGGGGACACACUCAGCCUGUUAUGGACUGACUUGUGCCUCCCCAAGUUCAUAUGUUGGAUCCCCAACCCCCAAGGUGGCUAUAUUUGGAGUUAGGGCCUUUAAGGAGGCCUUUAAGGAUAAAUGAGGUCAUGAGAGUGAGGCCCUGAUCCUAUAGGGCCCAAGUCCUACUAAAAAAAUAAAAGAGACACCAGAGAUCUCUUUUUCCACGCACACACGGAGGAGGUGAGGUCACAGCAAGAGGGCGGUGUCUGCGAGCCGGGAAGAGAGUUCUCUCUGACAGCACCUUCCUCUCAGACUUCUGGCCUCCAGGGCUCUGAGAAAAUCGCUCUGUUGUUGAUGUCGCCCAGUCUGUAGCGUUCUGCUCUGCCUCCCGAGCAGGUUAAAACAGAAACCAUAACGGAGGCUUGUCUAUUAAAUCGUCUGUUUCCAGCGACAGAAUCUCAGCUUAAAUCCCCUUAAGCAAAAAGAAAAACUGAACAGUCCGAGAUCCGGUAACACGAGACCCAGGAUUUCCUCUGGCUCUUUCUCUCUCCCUUCUGUGUGUGCCCCUCCUGGCUCCUCUCCCUUCCUGGUGGUUCUGUCCCGGGAUAAGUCUCCUCACCGGCGCCUUCCAUAGGAGGUCAGGCCCGAGGCACCGAGAGACUCGGGCUUCAUGGCAACACCCUGGGGGAGGGCAGGGUUGUCCCCCUAGAACACAGGGACUGACGGUGAAGUGCAGAGCUCAAAAAACGAAAGAUUGCAACAAUGAUGACAAAGGGACCCCAGAGUGACAGAAAGAGCUCCCAAUGCCAGCGGUGGAUCAAUCUGAACAAAAAGUAAAUAGCCUCAUAUUGGAUUAUAACCCAAAGUGAAAAAAAAAAAAAGAUUCACAAGUUCACAUCGACAUAGAUGAUGGAAUAAAUAAACGAAUGUGGGAAAAGAGACAGAUGUCCCGUGCAGAAGAGUUCCAGAUACUGGCUGCAGAUGUUCCACAUUGAAGGGGAUGACUCCCCACACAAGUACGGGCUUCAAGUGACUCCCUUCUGGAGGUGACAGUGUGGAUGCAGUGAGAUCCCUAGAUCGCUAGAAAGACAUGCGAGGAAGACACCCAGGAAAAACGCAGUUGGGGAACGUCUUACACAGCAUUCAACCAGUCGUCGUCAAAACGUCAUGGUCAGAACAACAAGGAAAGGCUAAGAAACUGUCACCACCAAGAGAAGCCUAAAGAGACAAGAUGACUGAAUGUAAUGUGGGUCCUGGAAGGUGUCCUGGAACAGGAAAAGGACAAUAGGGAAAAACUAACGGAAUCUGAAUGAAGUACGGAAUUUGGUCCAUAAUAAUGUAUCAACACAGGCUCGAUAAAUGUGACAAAUGUACCAUAUCAUCAAUAGCAAGGGACACCGCGUGGAGUAUAUAGGAACUCUCUGUACUAUCUUCAUAAUAAUUGGGUAGCUGUAAAAGUGUCCUCAAAUAAAAGGUUUAUUGAAAACUAAAUAAAAUUGGGAGGCGCCU